rnacentral:rRNA from 1 species
AUUGAACGCUGGCGGCGUGCCUAAUACAUGCAAGUCGAACGAGUGGCGGACGGGUGAGUAAUGUCUGGGAAACUGCCUGAUGGAGGGGGAUAACUACUGGAAACGGUAGCUAAUACCGCAUACCAUCGGAUGUGCCCCGAUGGGAUUAGCUAGUAGGUGGGGUAAAGGCUCACCUAGGCGACGAUCCCUAGCUGGUCUGAGAGGAUGACCAGCCACCCGCGAACUUAGACACGGUGCAGACUCCUACGGGGGGCAGCAUUGGGGAAUAGUGCACAAUGGGCGCAAGCCUUCUGAAGCCAUGCCGCGUGUAUGAAGAAGGCCUUCGGGUUGUAAAGUACUUUAAGCGGGGAGGCGUUAACCGCAGAAGAAGCACCGGCUAACUCCGUGCCAGCAGCCGCGGUAAUAC